UGGGGAAUAUUGCACAAUGGGCGAAAGCCUGAUGCAGCAACGCCGCGUGAGUGAUGAAGGCCUUCGGGUUGUAAAGCUCUGUCUUUUGGGACGAUAAUGACGGUACCAAAGGAGAAAGCCACGGCUAACUACGUGCCAGCAGCCGCGGUAAUACGUAGGUGGCAAGCGUUGUCCGGAUUUACUGGGCGUAAAGGAUGCGUAGGCGGAUUUUUAAGUGAGAUGUGAAAUACCCGGGCUUAACUUGGGUGCUGCAUUUCAAACUGGGAAUCUAGAGUGCGGGAGGGGAGAAUGGAAUUCCUAGUGUAGCGGUGAAAUGCGUAGAGAUUAGGAAGAACACCAGUGGCGAAGGCGAUUCUCUGGACCGUAACCGACGCUGAGGCAUGAAAGCGUGGGUAGCAAACAGGAUUAGAUACCCUGGUAGUCCACGCCGUAAACGAUGAGUACUAGGUGUAGGAGGUAUCGACCCCUUCUGUGCCGCAGUUAACACAAUAAGUACUCCGCCUGGGAAGUACGAUCGCAAGAUUAAAAACUU
rnacentral:rRNA from 1 species